UCAUUUUUCUUCGAAGUUAUUUUUAACCGCGUAAACAUUUCCUCGGCCGAAGAAAAAUAAGAGGAAGUAGUCGAAGUAGAGAAGAAAUCUCAAGCGUCAGGAAAUUUCGUCGAUUUCUUGGUGGAUCGUCGCAAAAUAAAAGCAGAAAAUCAUUGAACGUGUAUAGUUGUGCCCUGGAAACAAUCCAGCUAUACUUUUUCGUCCCUUUCCAUUUGUAUUGUCCUCAUAACCGUGAUUCCAAAUUUAUACUUUAGAAAUUUUUCGACGCUCUUCCUGUCUCUUUUUAUACAUCUGUCAAGUGUGCGUGUUUAUCUGCGUACGUUGGUGCGUGCGUACGUGCGUAUGUUCUAUCAUAUCGAUCAACCUAAGAGAGACGGAAUAAUAAAGAGCACGUCCUUGGGAUUUCCAUAUUUCGAGAAUGGAGGCCCCGCAUCGUACGGAAAUAGGACGAAAAUUGCAGCGAAUCCCAUGAGAGCGUCCGGAGUCCAUCUGCAGUUUGCUUGGAUUUCCGGUCUCCAUCUUGGGCAACGACUGGCUGGAAAUCCGAGGGGAUUUCUAACGGAUUCGACAUAUAACAUCCAUGCUCGGUAAUGGCCACAGUAACAUAAAACCGCGACGAAGGAUAUUCCCAAGGCUACAUCCAGGCUGCGGUGGUUUACCACCGUUAGGAUAAAAGUCAGCAUGACCUAAAGGAUUUGGAAAUCCAAAGAUUCCGCCGUCAGUAUGAAUAACGUCGACGAAAGCCGCGUCGGUAGAUGUCAAGUGACCUUCUCUUCCGGUAUUCAUAUACAACGGAUAAGCAGCGUCCAAUCCGGUUAUUCUUCCGACCUACAACCCAUCAAGGCAAAGGCACAUUUUACUGGACAAUGAAUUAUCAAAGUGUUAAAGCUUAUUUGCAUAUAAAUCGAAUCCGCAGUCUUUUUAAUAAAGAAUCUUUGUUGGUAUAUUUAUUCGAUACGAUCGUGCCGAUCGAUCAAUUCGAUCGUAAUUUUCUUUUAUACUGUCACGUUCCAAUCUAAACUCGCCUCUAAACUAGUCCAUAUCUACUCGAUUAUUUAUCUCAAUUAUACUAGAGUUUACCUACCAAACGUGGAGCUAAAGCCUUGCCCAUGAAUCCGGCUACCUCGGCACCCAAACUGAAUCCAAUAACAUGAAUUUUUGAUAAUGGAACCGCUUUCUGGGCAUCCAACCAGCUGAUCAUACGUGCUACAUGGGGACCAAUUAGUCUUGUGUUUUCGACAGCCGUGUGAUACCAUGGUAACGUCGCCAGUCUUACCCAGUUGACCAAAAUGACGUUGUAAUCAGCACGCUUCAAAUAGACUUAAGAGAGAAAGGAAUACAAAAGAAAAAGAAAAAGCGAAAAAAGGAAGGAAAGAAAAAGAAGAGAAAGAAAAGUAAAAAACAAAAAUGUCAGGAUGACUUGGUUAUCUUCUAUAUUCGAAUGCCACGUUUAACCAGGACCGUGCCAAACUUUUUUCAAGCUACUAUUCAUCAUUCUCAUCCUUACGUGAGAUACUCGACGAAAACUAGCUUACUAGUGGUUAUGUUAUUCUACUACUGUUGAUGCAGUUACUAAUGUAUCCAGCCAAGUUUCAACAUCGACUUUUUCCUACAACUAACUGGGACAAAUCCUUUACGACUUUCGAAGAAAUGAAGUAUUCAAAUGACAGCUACUUGGCUGUCCUCGCUAGACCUUCUCUUCAACUGAUAUAUAUGUAUUGCACAUAUAAGUAUAAUAUAUUUGUGAACUUUGAAGUAUCUUGUAAUUUAAAAGGUAUAAUUCAUAUGAGCGUGUUAUAUUUUGAUAGAUGAAAUUAAUGAAUACGAUAUAAAAUAAAUCGAUUAUAAUUUUAUGACGUCUUAAUCCAUUGAAUGGGUUUUUCGAACAAUCUUUUUGCCAUAUGGCUCUCAAUAUACUUUUCUUUAGAAUUGUAUCGCAGUCAUCGAAUUAAUUCAUAAUAUAAAAUUUUUUAUAAUUAUGAUAGACUCGAGUCACUUUAUAUUAUUUUUAAAAGAUACUAAGCUCUUACUGCAGUAUUCUCGUUAACCGAAAAGAACUCUUCACGAGAAUUAUCUUCACUUGCAAAUUAAUCACUUUCCUCGGUACGAUUUAAGGCACCAGGUAUCAUUUUCUAACCUGUUAAAAAUUUAAUGCAAUUCGUAGAUUUGAGAAACGUUGAUUUCAGAAGAAAGGACGUAUGUUAUAUCAGUUUCUCAUUUAAUUGCUAUGGACCAUAGCAAUGAAACGUUUCUACAUUUUCCAUUAAAUUUUUAUUAAACGUAACAUACGAUCUCAUUUCUAAUACCUAUUCAUUUAUCAUAAUUACUUUUAAUUAAUUUCUCAAUUAAAUACAAAAUCAAUAAAUACCAUCUCUUACGGCAUUCGAACUUUCGCCUGGUGCACUCUCGCUGUAUCCAUGAAUGUAAAUGACUGUAGGAUUCCUUUUAUCGAAGUUACUUCUCUUUAAGGACAAUGGAUUCAAUAUACUCAAUACAUUGGCUACGUGUGGAUUUCGUCUUUGAAAAAAAAAAAGAAAAAAAAAUAUAUAUAUAUAUAGAAAGAGAGAGAGAGAGAGAGAGAGAGAGAGAAGAUAGUCAUAGUGAAAACGUUUUAUCAUCGAAUUUCGUUAAUUCAGGUAAAAUUCGCGAAGUACUUUAAUUCUCAGAUCUGAUGAAAAUCACAAGCCAGAAAUAUCAAUGAUGUUUUCAAAGAGAAAACCGAUUCCUUUCCAAAAUUUCUACGUUAUUUCGAACAUAAAACGGACAGGUACAGAGAGGCGAGCAUACCUAUAGAGAUUUAUUAAGUAAAAUGAAAGGUCUCUAUAUAUCUAUACGAAUGAUAUCGUCAUUCCCAAGAUAGAAAUUAUUUCAUGGGGAGUUACGAUCUUUGAACGUAAAUGAAAGGGACUCGAAUAGCGUCAGAACCGAUGAAUUUAAAUUCGCGAUGGGAAUUCUAUCCUCUACAGAAAGAGAUCGACGCAAAACACGGCUUUGACGCGAGCACAGUAAAUGAACGAACGGUGUACACGGUUACUAAUAUCGAACGUAUUGCCGUCGUCGUCUCACGUGACGUGAUAACGUAACAUCCUAGUGUGUUAGUGAUUAUAUAUGUAUUAUGCUGAACCUUUUUUGAACCAACUCUCUUUACAUUCUACGUCUUUGAGAAUGAAAUCGAAAGAAAAGAAAGAAAGAAAGACAAAAAAAAAGAAAAAGAAAAAUUAAGAAAAAAUAUAAAUAAAAUAAAACAAAAAUAAAAGAAAAAUAUAAAUAGAAGUAAAUAGACAAGAAAAAAAAGAAAUAAAUAAAGAAAGAAAGAAAGAAAGAAAGAAAGAAAGAAAGAAAGAAAGAAAUUAAUCGUGUUCACAUAAAUGAAAGAAGAAGAAAAAAUUGUUACCUUGUGAAGAGAAGAUACUCGACAUCUCGAUCGAGAUCGAUCGGACAGCAUAGAGGGCAGGUGCCAGUGGGGAAAGCCAUUAUGUAGAGGGUCCCAGUAUCUGUCGAGAAUAAAAAAUUAAAAGAAAAAGGAAAAAAAAAAAAAAGAAAAGAGCAGGGGAACGUCAUUAGAACGGCGCCACUCGGCCGUGGCCAUUCUACGCGGUCGUCGUCAUUGAACCUGACAGUGGUCACGUGAUGUCGCGUGCACCCACGCCAGCAACCAUCGCAAACACCUUCUGCGAACUUUCUCUCUCUCUCUCUCUCUCUCUUUCUUUCUCUCUCAUUUCUUCUUUUUUUUUCCAUCGGUGAUAUCACAAAUAAGAAUUCUUCGAUGAGAAGUACAUUUAAACCGGAAUACACAGUCAUCAUUGUUAUCUACCUGUCAGUUGUUUUUCGUCAUUGCCGGAGUUAGUUGUAUGUCGAUAAAACUUGAUCGAUUAAUCUUUCUCUUUUGACUUUAGCUAACAUAUAAAUUCCUCGAGAUAUUCGAGGUAUAACUUUUGCAUGUCGAUUUACACUACCGAGUUACGAAUAAGAAAAAUCGAAGGAAAGUUGACCUAAUAACACUAUAGCAUGAGCUAAAUGAUUAUU